UCAGUUUGUAAAAUGUGAUCCAUCUUGAAUUUCGUUCUUGGUUAAAAUUUAAAAAAAUAUUUUAAAUAGAUACAUACAUUGUGACGAGUGAGACUAAUACACAUAAUCCCGAUACGAUUUUAUACAUGUACAUAAAGUACAACGGAAGCUUUCACUUUAAGCGAAACAUAAUUAUUUAAUCAGCUCAAUAAUUCGUCUUCAGCAUAAUUCGUAAUUAACCGGUGGAUAUUUCGUUUUUAACGAAGUAUUAAACUUUAUUGAGGAAUUUUCAUGCAGCUAAAAUUGAAACAGGAAUAUGUACCAAUUCCUAAUUGAAAAACGUGACAAGGCUGGUAACUUCGCAACAACUUUAAAAUAAAUUAAAGAUUUUCUGAAGAAUAAUCUAUGUAAUUCAUAUCCUAACUCAAACUCAACCAGUCCAUGAAGUUCGUCAUGUUUUCAUCACCACCAGGGACAUUUUCAACUGACGGAGAGUCCUCCCACCAGUCACAAUGGAAAACUAUAAAAAUUGGAUAGCGGAGAUUUUGUUCCGGUUAAUUAGCUAAGACACCUUCCCAUAAUUAUCCUCUCUUCACUGCAUAUAACUUAUGUAGAUUUAUCGGAUAUAUAUUUUAAUCUAGGAUACCGUACAUACAUACUGUGCACACGGUACACACUUAAAAAUAAUGUUACGAUUUGAGACACAAAUCUAAUCUGAAUUCUACAAUUAAGCAAAACAUACUAAAUCCAGAGUAACGUGAACUUGAUAUUAAGUAAAGUUUGCUCCGAAUUUUGUAUGGUUUGGUUAAUUUGGAAUCCAUGGGCUUUAUAAAAAAGUAGCAUUAUCUUUAAGAGUGUGGCAAGCAUCUACCGUAAGCGAUAUUUGACGUAAACGAAAAUUUCGCUAAAUGCAUUUGUAAAAAUGUUCGAGAAUACCAUAACACAAAUUUUGUAUGUUCCCAAAUCAAUUUACAUAUUCAUUGGGGGUAGGGAUUCCAAUCCCGGACGAUUUUUUAAAUCCCGGGAAUCGGGAAUCCCGGUUUUAGCCGUACAAAAUCCCGGGAAAUCCCGGGAUUUUUUCCCAGAAUUCAAAAAUUACCUCAUAACUUGAAAUAAGUUAAAUUUGGGUAUACGAAAAAGUACAGAAUAUAA